rnacentral:rRNA from 1 species
AUUGAACGCUGGCGGCAUGCCUUACACAUGCAAGUCGAACGGUAACGCGGGGCAACCUGGCGACGAGUGGCGAACGGGUGAGUAAUGUAUCGGAACGUGCCCAGUUGUGGGGGAUAACUGCUCGAAAGAGCAGCUAAUACCGCAUACGACCUGAGGGUGAAAGCGGGGGAUCGCAAGACCUCGCGCAAUUAGAGCGGCCGAUAUCAGAUUAGGUAGUUGGUGGGGUAAAGGCCUACCAAGCCUACGAUCUGUAGCUGGUCUGAGAGGACGACCAGCCCCACUGGGACUGAGACACGGCCCAGACUCCUACGGGAGGCAGCAGUGGGGAAUUUUGGACAAUGGGGGAAACCCUGAUCCAGCCAUGCCGCGGGCGGGAAGAAGGCCUUCGGGUUGUAAACCGCUUUUGUCAGGGAAGAAAUCCUUUGAACUAAUACUUCGGAGGGAUGACGGUACCUGAAGAAUAAGCACCGGCUAACUACGUGCCAGCCGCCGCCGUAA